rnacentral:rRNA from 1 species
CCUACGGGGGGCUGCAGUGGGGAAUAUUGGACAAUGGGGGCAACCCUGAUCCAGCCAUGCCGCGUGUGUGAAGAAGGCCCUCGGGUUGUAAAGCACUUUCAGUGAGGAAGAACGCCUGGUGGUUAAUACCCAUCAGGAAAGACAUCACUCACAGAAGAAGCACCGGCUAACUCCGUGCCAGCAGCCGCGGUAAUACGGAGGGUGCGAGCGUUAAUCGGAAUUAUUGGGCGUAAAGCGCGCGUAGGUGGCUUGAUAAGCCGGUUGUGAAAGCCCCGGGCUCAACCUGGGAACGGCAUCCGGAACUGUCAAGCUAGAGUGCAGGAGAGGAAGGUAGAAUUCCCGGUGUAGCGGUGAAAUGCGUAGAGAUCGGGAGGAAUACCAGUGGCGAAGGCGGCCUUCUGGACUGACACUGACACUGAGGUGCGAAAGCGUGGGUAGCAAACAGGAUUAGAUACCCUUGUAGUC